rnacentral:lncRNA from 1 species
UAAACCUGAAAAGUCUGGAGGCCCAGAAAGAAAAGACAAGAAAUCGGGCCUUCUCGGCAGUGGCUCCUCGCCUCUGGAAUAACCUUCCCCGACAUUCGCGCGGCUCCCUCGCUGGGUAUUUUUAAAAAACAAUUAAAAACACUGAUAUUUCGGCAGGCCUUCCCCUCAGCCAACUCCUGAUCUUCCCUCUUUUUCCUCUCUCCUAGUGUCUGUUCCAUCUUGUCCAAAGUUUCUCCCCUUAUUUAAAAUUGUCUUAAUUAUUUUGUAUUCCGCUUGUUGUAAGCCACCUAGAGUGGUCUUAAGUGACUAGAUAGGCGGGAUAUAAAUUAAAUAAAUAAAUAAAUAAAAAUAUAUAUCUGGCUAAUGUGGACCUAUAUGGACUAUUAAAAAUAUCCCAUACUGGGAUCUCACAAAGAAGUGACGAAAUUAUUCAAUGAGCAGUUAAGGAAGGAUUACAGUCAACAGGAGAUAGGAAAUAAUGAACAAGGAAAUGAGAGGGUGGUGGUUGAUGUAUGCCAACCAGAGGAGGAGCUGGAGGAAAUCAGAGGAGAAAAAUUAGAAGAUCUAAAUCUAACCCUGGAGCCGAGGAGAAUCUUAGGUGUGCCAAGGGAAGGGAAAGAACCACCAGAUUUAAUUAAAAAUAGCCUGGAAAACCUUUUCAGUAAAUCACAGAUUGGCGUGAGAUUACAAUGGCCCAAUCUCACCUUCAGAUACUUAGCAUCAACAUGUGACCCAAAAUAGUUACUCCCUUUGCUUUAGCCAGGCAUCAGUAUCAUAUGAUCACAACAGCUGGUCUUUUCCCUUCAAACAGGAGAUGUUGAUAUGAGGUCACAAUGACCAAGCAAGCAGCAUCCCCAUGUGUCAACAAUCAAAUUUUUAUCUUCAGGAAGACAACAUUAACUCCAGGUCAAGAUGGCUAGGCUCACUGCUUCAGUAAAUAACAUCAGCAGCAGAAUGUGUUCAAUGUCUGCUCUCUAAACAGUCAUCAGCACAAAUGGCAAGAAACUAUUCUACACCAGGCAGCAGCAGCAGAAGAAGUAGUAGUUCUGUGAAGAUUCUCAGUCAUUCAGAAUCUACUUCAAAGAGAGAGAGGAGGAGGAGGAGAAGAAGAAGAAGAAGAAGAAGAAGAAGAAGAAGAAGCAGCAGCAGCAGCAGCAGCAGCAGCAGCAAGGUUUGGGAGUUAUGUCACACAGUGAAGAAUAUAGGAAGCCAUUUCUUUCAAACAAGAUCAUUUGAACAAAGCCUACAGUAA